CUCCACACACCAGCCUAAAGAAGCAAAAAAGCAGAAAGAGUCAUUGAGGAAAACAGCUGAAAGAUGCUUUUAAAUUAGUCAAAAAGUUAGGGGUAACCUCUUCUGGCAUAUGUCUAUGCGGGCCCGUGUGUAAAUAGAACAUAAAUUACCGGUGUGUGUAAAUAAAGUGUAAAAUAGUGGUAUAAACUGUCUGUUGAAUUUCUCCUGAGUGUUGAAAAAAGGAAAAACUCUUUUCUGCUCUCUCUGAGAGAGGGGCUGUGUGUGUGAGACAGGAAGUGUGCAUGCCCAUAGAAGGAAAGAGAUGAGGUAAACUCUGUGCAGAUAGACCGAAGUAAAAAAAAAAAAAAAAAAAAGGAAAAGGGUCUCUCUCUGUCUCUGUGAGAGAAAAAAGGUGGGGACCGAGUGAGCCCGCGGGGCCGAGCGGGUCCGCGGGAGCGAGCGUGUAUGCUGUAUGAGGAAGAAGGGAGUGAGAGGGAGCGAGUGAAAAGAGUAAUCGAGUAUUUGGUGAUUUUUUAUUAUUUCAGAGGCACUGGUGUCUUCAUACAGGUGUUUUUUCUUAACCUGGAAGCCUGAGUACGGCAGCAGAAGACAGGCCAAGCUUUGGCUAAAAUUCACGGCUGGACACCAGAGUUGUCCUCACCCCUCCCGGUAAAACAAAAAAGAGAGAAUGUAGUUUGAGGCGGGUUUUUCUUGCUGAACCGCUCUGGGUGCUGUGUCCCUGAAUCUCACCGGUGUUAACCUCUGGCGGAAGACAUGGAGAAAAGGAAAAGAUGUUCCUGAGCCGAAGCUGACCUGGACUCCUACCCUCCCCUCUACCAUCGUUGCCCUCUCCGCGACCAUCUUUGACCCUUUGACCCCUGAAGGCCACAGCAGCUGGACUCACAACAACAACUUGAGGAUGUCAACAGUGCUGCAAAAGAGUGAUCUCAUGCAGCAGAGACGGAGAGCACUAAACCUAAAGCCCGUUUCACUACACGGGGGAAAUUCCCAGGCUGCGUCAGCUGACAGAGCUGUGACGAGACGCGCAUUAAGCCCGGAGGAAAAGGGACGGUGAGCAGAAGGAUGCUGACCUCUGAGAAGAGCCGAACAGCAGAGCUGCAGAAGGCCGUGGAGCAAAGUAAGGAAGAUGCAGGCAGCUGCAACAACGGAUGAAAACAGACCCAAAGAGGAGGGGAGGACCCUAGGCCAUGCGUCAGGCCGCUGGUUUACCUAAACUACAGAACAGAAAGGUGAUGAACACAAACAUAUACCAACACACGAACACACACUUCUGCAUGCGCCUACUUAGAAUGAAGGGAAACACACACAUGAACACUUAUGCACUUGUUGAGGGAGUAAAAACUGAUACAUACCCA
ensembl:lncRNA